rnacentral:ncRNA from 1 species
AUAAAGGCAAUGAAGAGAAGAGUACGCGGGAAGGAAGAGCAAAGAGAGCCCCCACAGGUGGGAAGGGGCCUUGGAUAGCCUGCUGAACAUGGCCUCUGAGCCUCUCUGCUGAAUCAUCAGGCAGACCGGGAAUUCCCGUUACAGAAAAGAAGUAUCAAGGCAGAGCCGGCGUACUUCAUAAGGCUUUUCCGGCGACGGAAAAGUGAAUCUGGGUGGUACCACGAAUAGAAUCCUUCGUCCCUUUC